GACGAACGCUGGCGGCGUGCUUAACACAUGCAAGUCGAACGGAAAGGCCUGCUUUUGUGGGGUGCUCGCGUGGCGAACGGGUGAGUAACACGUGAGUAACCUGCCCUUGACUUUGGGAUAACUUCAGGAAACUGGGGCUAAUACCGGAUAGGAGCUCCUGCUGCAUGGUGGGGAUUGGAAAGUUUCGGCGGUUGGGGAUGGACUCGCGGCUUAUCAGCUUGUUGGUGGGGUAGUGGCUUACCAAGGCUUUGACGGGUAGCCGGCCUGAGAGGGUGACCGGCCACAAUGGGACUGAGAUACGGCCCAGACUCCUACGGGAGGCAGCAGUGGGGAAUAUUGCACAAUGGGCGGAAGCCUGAUGCAGCAACGCCGCGUGCGGGAUGACGGCCUUCGGGUUGUAAACCGCUUUCGCCUGUGACGAAGCGUGAGUGACGGUAAUGGGUAAAGAAGCACCGGCUAACUACGUG
rnacentral:rRNA from 1 species